AUGACUGUUAAAAGCCAGCAAUACCAUACACAGACAGGAGCAGAGAACAGGACAGCCAUCAGGAGCACCUGAAUGAGACUGCCCACAGGGAAAGCUACAUGGAAUGAAGAGUGCCCCAGCUGCUAGGCAUGGUGAAAUGAGCACAAGAACAAGCACCUGGGAGCAUUACAGAAGUUCGGUUAACAGUUUGUUCCCUUAGAUUUCUGAAUUCCAGUUUCACGCUGCUUCAGAAAUAAGGAGUGAGAAACAACACGUGUCACUUAGCAUACCCCAGAAAAAGGAAAACAAACAAAAAAAACAACCAGAAACCUUUAAAAGGUGGGACUGAGCUUGGAAAAAUGCAUCUGUUCUGUUAUUAGCAAGUGGAAGGCAAUUCUUGUUCACAGGCUAAUACACAGAGCACAACCCCUACAGCCAGGAAGGGUGGGCCAAGAGCUGUGUAUGGGCUGUCAGAGACAGGCUAAAAAGGUUCUAGGACAACCACAGAGCAACAAUACGUGAGAGGGGCACAGAGUGACAGUCCUGUUCUCAUUUUAAAUGAGGAAUGGUUUAAAAGUAAAACUCUUCUUCAGCUAAUUUCCUCCUGCAAUAAAACCAACCAAGCCGGCCCUCAUCUGUACAAGACCAGUUAAACAUCAGCCUUCCCCCUCAAAACACUAGAUAUGAACAUCCGUAACAUUCUACAAUGGAAAGUGCUUUAAGAAAGAAGGAUUCUGUAGUGCCAGUGACAGAACUGAUCUGAUGGGCUGGAUGAUGUUAACACUGACAUCAGCUAAUCAGGCCAGGGCAGCUCGUUUCUCCUCAGGGGUCUCCUCCAGCAGCUGCAUGAUCAGUUCAUGGAGGGGUUUACAGAUCUUUGCAUAGGCCCCUCCUGUCAGGUGCAGGAAAUCAAACAUAUCGUGGUAUGAGAUGGUGCCAUCUGAGUGCACGAAGCCGGCAUCUACAUCCAGGAGCUGGACAUUGGGUAGUUUGGGGAGUGAGGCUUUUAGCAGAUGGUUCACCUUGGCAUUCUUCUGCCGCAGAGGGUUUGGCUUCUCUCCACGAGGUAGCAGGCCCAGUACAAUAACUUUGGCCUGUGGCUGCUGGGUAUUUAUCAGGCGCACGAUAGCCUCAAUCCCUCCUGCUACUUCUUCUGCUGUGUUUCCGUAAUUAUUUGUUCCAACCCAAACAACAAUGACCUUCGGUUUAAUGUUCUCCAGUUCGCCAUUCUUCAGUCUCCACAGAACGUGUCCAGUGGUGUCUCCACCAAUCCCAAAAUUCAAUGCAUGAAGUGGUGAGAAGAGCUCUCGCCAUAUCUCAUAUUGCUGUAGCAACUGCACCAUGGAAUCACCCACAAAGAGCACAUCAGGUUCCUUGUCUUUGCAGUCCGAGACAAAUCUAUUGUGCUGCGACAUCCAUCUGUCAUCUCCCUGAAUAUCGUCAGCGGCAUGUGGGACUGCUGCAGGAUUUGAGUCUCCAUGGCUCAUUUUAUUCGGCGACAGCAGCUCCCCCCGCAGCUCCAUGGCUCGCUCGGGCGGGCGCCUCCCUCCCUCGGCCCGGGCUCUCUCCGCGCCUGCGCCAACGCCACUUCCGCUUCCGACGCC
rnacentral:lncRNA from 1 species